rnacentral:rRNA from 1 species
GAUGAACGCUGGCGGCGUGCCUAAUACAUGCAAGUCGAGCGAAUGAAGAGGAGCUUGCUCCUCUGAUUUAGCGGCGGACGGGUGAGUAACACGUGGGUAAUCUGCCUGUAAGACGGGGAUAACUCCGGGAAACCGGGGCUAAUACCGGAUAAUAAGAGAAGAAGCAUUUCUUCUUUUUGAAAGUCGGUUUCGGCUGACACUUACAGAUGAGCCCGCGGCGCAUUAGCUAGUUGGUGAGGUAACGGCUCACCAAGGCGACGAUGCGUAGCCGACCUGAGAGGGUGAUCGGCCACACUGGGACUGAGACACGGCCCAGACUCCUACGGGAGGCAGCAGUAGGGAAUCUUCGGCAAUGGGCGAAAGCCUGACCGAGCAACGCCGCGUGAGCGAUGAAGGCCUUCGGGUCGUAAAGCUCUGUUGUUAGAGAAGAACAAGUACGAGAGUAGCUGCUCGUACCUUGACGGUACCUAACCAGAAAGCCACGGCUAACUACGUGCCAGCAGCCGCGGUAAAAC